AGCGUACACGGUGGAUGCCCUGGCAGUCAGAGGCGAUGAAGGACGUGCUAAUCUGCGAUAAGCGUCGGUAAGGUGAUAUGAACCGUUAUAACCGGCGAUUUCCGAAUGGGGAAACCCAGUGUGAUUCGUCACACUAUCAUUAACUGAAUCCAUAGGUUAAUGAGGCGAACCGGGGGAACUGAAACAUCUAAGUACCCCGAGGAAAAGAAAUCAACCGAGAUUCCCCCAGUAGCGGCGAGCGAACGGGGAGCAGCCCAGAGUCUGAAUCAGUGUGUGUGUUAGUGGAAGCGUCUGGAAAGGCGCGCGAUACAGGGUGACAGCCCCGUACACAAAAAUGCACAUACUGUGAGCUCGAUGAGUAGGGCGGGACACGUGGUAUCCUGUCUGAAUAUGGGGGGACCAUCCUCCAAGGCUAAAUACUCCUGACUGACCGAUAGUGAACCAGUACCGUGAGGGAAAGGCGAAAAGAACCCCGGCGAGGGGAGUGAAAAAGAACCUGAAACCGUGUACGUACAAGCAGUGGGAGCCUCUUUUAUGGGGUGACUGCGUACCUUUUGUAUAAUGGGUCAGCGACUUAUAUUCUGUAGCAAGGUUAACCGAAUAGGGGAGCCGAAGGGAAACCGAGUCUUAACUGGGCGUUAAGUUGCAGGGUAUAGACCCGAAACCCGGUGAUCUAGCCAUGGGCAGGUUGAAGGUUGGGUAACACUAACUGGAGGACCGAACCGACUAAUGUUGAAAAAUUAGCGGAUGACUUGUGGCUGGGGGUGAAAGGCCAAUCAAACCGGGAGAUAGCUGGUUCUCCCCGAAAGCUAUUUAGGUAGCGCCUCGUGAAUUCAUCUCCGGGGGUAGAGCACUGUUUCGGCAAGGGGGUCAUCCCGACUUACCAACCCGAUGCAAACUGCGAAUACCGGAGAAUGUUAUCACGGGAGACACACGGCGGGUGCUAACGUCCGUCGUGAAGAGGGAAACAACCCAGACCGCCAGCUAAGGUCCCAAAGUCAUGGUUAAGUGGGAAACGAUGUGGGAAGGCCCAGACAGCCAGGAUGUUGGCUUAGAAGCAGCCAUCAUUUAAAGAAAGCGUAAUAGCUCACUGGUCGAGUCGGCCUGCGCGGAAGAUGUAACGGGGCUAAACCAUGCACCGAAGCUGCGGCAGCGACGCUUAUGCGUUGUUGGGUAGGGGAGCGUUCUGUAAGCCUGUGAAGGUGUGCUGUGAGGCAUGCUGGAGGUAUCAGAAGUGCGAAUGCUGACAUAAGUAACGAUAAAGCGGGUGAAAAGCCCGCUCGCCGGAAGACCAAGGGUUCCUGUCCAACGUUAAUCGGGGCAGGGUGAGUCGACCCCUAAGGCGAGGCCGAAAGGCGUAGUCGAUGGGAAACAGGUUAAUAUUCCUGUACUUGGUGUUACUGCGAAGGGGGGACGGAGAAGGCUAUGUUGGCCGGGCGACGGUUGUCCCGGUUUAAGCGUGUAGGCUGGUUUUCCAGGCAAAUCCGGAAAAUCAAGGCUGAGGCGUGAUGACGAGGCACUACGGUGCUGAAGCAACAAAUGCCCUGCUUCCAGGAAAAGCCUCUAAGCAUCAGGUAACAUCAAAUCGUACCCCAAACCGACACAGGUGGUCAGGUAGAGAAUACCAAGGCGCUUGAGAGAACUCGGGUGAAGGAACUAGGCAAAAUGGUGCCGUAACUUCGGGAGAAGGCACGCUGAUAUGUAGGUGAAGUCCCUCGCGGAUGGAGCUGAAAUCAGUCGAAGAUACCAGCUGGCUGCAACUGUUUAUUAAAAACACAGCACUGUGCAAACACGAAAGUGGACGUAUACGGUGUGACGCCUGCCCGGUGCCGGAAGGUUAAUUGAUGGGGUCAGCGCAAGCGAAGCUCUUGAUCGAAGCCCCGGUAAACGGCGGCCGUAACUAUAACGGUCCUAAGGUAGCGAAAUUCCUUGUCGGGUAAGUUCCGACCUGCACGAAUGGCGUAAUGAUGGCCAGGCUGUCUCCACCCGAGACUCAGUGAAAUUGAACUCGCUGUGAAGAUGCAGUGUACCCGCGGCAAGACGGAAAGACCCCGUGAACCUUUACUAUAGCUUGACACUGAACAUUGAGCCUUGAUGUGUAGGAUAGGUGGGAGGCUUUGAAGUGUGGACGCCAGUCUGCAUGGAGCCGACCUUGAAAUACCACCCUUUAAUGUUUGAUGUUCUAACGUUGACCCGUAAUCCGGGUUGCGGACAGUGUCUGGUGGGUAGUUUGACUGGGGCGGUCUCCUCCUAAAGAGUAACGGAGGAGCACGAAGGUUGGCUAAUCCUGGUCGGACAUCAGGAGGUUAGUGCAAUGGCAUAAGCCAGCUUGACUGCGAGCGUGACGGCGCGAGCAGGUGCGAAAGCAGGUCAUAGUGAUCCGGUGGUUCUGAAUGGAAGGGCCAUCGCUCAACGGAUAAAAGGUACUCCGGGGAUAACAGGCUGAUACCGCCCAAGAGUUCAUAUCGACGGCGGUGUUUGGCACCUCGAUGUCGGCUCAUCACAUCCUGGGGCUGAAGUAGGUCCCAAGGGUAUGGCUGUUCGCCAUUUAAAGUGGUACGCGAGCUGGGUUUAGAACGUCGUGAGACAGUUCGGUCCCUAUCUGCCGUGGGCGCUGGAGAACUGAGGGGGGCUGCUCCUAGUACGAGAGGACCGGAGUGGACGCAUCACUGGUGUUCGGGUUGUCAUGCCAAUGGCACUGCCCGGUAGCUAAAUGCGGAAGAGAUAAGUGCUGAAAGCAUCUAAGCACGAAACUUGCCCCGAGAUGAGUUCU
rnacentral:rRNA from 1 species